UACGAAGGGGGCUAGCGUUGCUCGGAAUCACUGGGCGUAAAGGGUGCGUAGGCGGGUCUUUUAAGUCAGGGGUGAAAUCCUGGAGCUCAACUCCAGAACUGCCUUUGAUACUGGAAAGCUUGAGUUCGGGAGAGGUGAGUGGAACUGCGAGUGUAGAGGUGAAAUUCGUAGAUAUUCGCAAGAACACCAGUGGCGAAGGCGGCUCACUGGCCCGAUACUGACGCUGAGGUGCGAAAGCGUGGGGAGCAAACAGG
rnacentral:rRNA from 1 species